GACAGAGGUGCCAAGCGUUAGGCGGAAUCACUGGGCUUAAAGCGUGUGUAGGCGGGUCGUUAAGUACCUUGUGAAAUCCCCCGGCUCAACCGGGGAACGGGCUGGGUAUACUGGCGAUCGUCGAGCCACCUAGGGGCUGCCGGAACAAAUGGUGGAGCGGUGAAAUGCGUAGAUAUCAUUUGGAACGCCAAUGGUGAAAACAGGCAGCUGGGAGUGUGGCUGACGCUGAGAUACGAAAGCCAGGGGAGCGAACGGG
rnacentral:rRNA from 1 species